AUUAACCAAUAUUCACAUAAAAAUGGAAGAUGAACGAACAAACGAUCGAUCGUAUGGGCCGCGAACUACGACUGCGCAACAUGUGUUAAAAACGGAUGAUUUCUUCUCAUCGUUAAUUUUUUUCUCACAAAAACAGCAACAGUGAUGAGGUAGCAGCAUAUGCAUGGCGUUGUACAAGUGUAAAUACGGAUGUUUUUUCUGCAUUUCAUAAUUUCAUGAAAUUCAAAAAGAAACAAGAAAAAAAGAAGUAAACAAAGAAAGAAAAAAAACCCCAUGCAUUUAAAAAAUAAUUUUAUUUCAACUAUAGUGGGUAGGGCUGCUGAAUGGAUAACAAGUGAACUAUAAUGGUAGGCCCCAAUCGGCUUCAUUUGUAUUCAAAACUUCAACUUAAAAAAAAUCUUACAAUAACUAUAGUAAUGAAGUAAUAUUUUCUUUUAUUUUUUGUGAUUAUAAAACAGCAAGAAAAAGAUGCUGUCACAUCAACGACAAACUGUAAAUAUUUUUGAAAAAAUUUAAAGUCCAA
rnacentral:sRNA from 1 species